GACGUAGGGCGCGAGCGUUGUCCGGAUUUAUUGGGCGUAAAGAGCUCGUAGGCGGCUCGUUGCGUCGGCUGUGAAAACCCGCAGCUCAACUGUGGGCUUGCAGCCGAUACGGGCGGGCUGGGAUUCGGUAGGGGAGACUGGAAUUCUUGGUGUAGCGGUGAAAUGCGUAGAUAUCAAGAGGAACACCUGAGGUGAAGACGGGUUGCUGGGCUGACACUGACGCUGAGGCGCGAAAGCUAGGGGAGCAAACGGG
rnacentral:rRNA from 1 species